rnacentral:rRNA from 1 species
UUAUAAGAGACAGCAGCCGCCGCGGUAAUACGGAGGGUGCAAGCGUUAAUCGGAAUUACUGGGCGUAAAGCGCACGCAGGCGGUUUGUUAAGUCAGAUGUGAAAUCCCCGAGCUUAACUUGGGAACUGCAUUUGAAACUGGCAAGCUAGAGUCUUGUAGAGGGGGGUAGAAUUCCAGGUGUAGCGGUGAAAUGCGUAGAGAUCUGGAGGAAUACCGGUGGCGAAGGCGGCCCCCUGGGCAAAGACUGACGCUCAGGUGCGAAAGCGUGGGGAGCAAACAGGAUUAGAUACCCGCGUAGUCCCUGUCUCUUAUAC